rnacentral:lncRNA from 1 species
CUUCGAUACUUAAAUCAGUCUCUCAUGAAAGCAAAGAGAAGAGGUUUCAGCUUUCAAAAGGAAACUUGAAAAGAGAUGGAGUUGGGUAUGAUGUGGGAUGGAGAUUGGAUUGAGUGGUGGAAUACUGAAGUUCGACGACUGUCAGUUGGUUUGUGAGGCAUUUUUGUGGGGUUGAGAGAGAGAACUCAGAGCUUAGUGGGAGAGAUGAAUCCAGUUCAUACGGAGUCUAUUUAUGAAAAAUGGUGUCAUACUAUUGAUCCAAAAUCACGAGCCGUAAGACAUAGCAACCACCAUACGCUGAUAGACAACUCUCUCCAUAAACAUGCAAGGUAUUUCAUUACGAUAUCAUAAAGC